AGGACGAACGCUGGCGGCGUGCUUAACACAUGCAAGUCGAGCGGUAAGGCCUCCUUCGGGGGGUACACGAGCGGCGAACGGGUGAGUAACACGUGGGUGACCUGCCCUCAGCUCUGGGAUAAGCCUGGGAAACCGGGUCUAAUACCGGAUAGGACUGCUUGCCGCAUGGUGGGUGGUGGAAAGUUUUUCGGCUGGGGAUGGGCCCGCGGCCUAUCAGCUUGUUGGUGGGGUGAUGGCCUACCAAGGCGGUGACGGGUA
rnacentral:rRNA from 1 species